UGAUCCUUUUUUGCUGACAUUCUGAAAAAGUAUUGUGUAGUCCCUGUGGCAAGAACAUUAAAGAUAAAGGGGAAACUAUAAACAGAAGAAAUUAUCAACAAAAUAAGAUUUACAGAGGUCAACAAAGCCUAAAUGGUCAGACAUCUUGAUUUUCAUGGUCAUCAUUCACAGAUCAUUACUGAACGGAAAACUUAAAGCUGAAAUUUUUCUCCUUAGUGCGACUUUCUUAUUAAUUUGAAAUGGAACGUGUUUUUUCCUACAUUUAUUUGAAAGAGGAAAUUUCGACAUGAUGACUAUAAACAAAAAGGAGUCAUAUCAUCACAAUCAUUGAUGCACAAGAACUUGAUCAUAUAAAUACAACAA